rnacentral:rRNA from 1 species
CAUGCAAGUCGAGCGAAUGGAUUAAGAGCUUGCUCUUAUGAAGUUAGCGGCGGACGGGUGAGUAACACGUGGGUAACCUGCCCAUAAGACUGGGAUAACUCCGGGAAACCGGGGCUAAUACCGGAUAAUAUUUUGAACUGCAUGGUUCGAAAUUGAAAGGCGGCUUCGGCUGUCACUUAUGGAUGGACCCGCGUCGCAUUAGCUAGUUGGUGAGGUAACGGCUCACCAAGGCAACGAUGCGUAGCCGACCUGAGAGGGUGAUCGGCCACACUGGGACUGAGACACGGCCCAGACUCCUACGGGAGGCAGCAGUAGGGAAUCUUCCGCAAUGGACGAAAGUCUGACGGAGCAACGCCGCGUGAGUGAUGAAGGCUUUCGGGUCGUAAAACUCUGUUGUUAGGGAAGAACAAGUGCUAGUUGAAUAAGCUGGCACCUUGACGGUACCUAACCAGAAAGCCACGGCUAACUACGUGCCAGCAGCCGCGGUAAUACGUAGGUGGCAAGCGUUAUCCGGAAUUAUUGGGCGUAAAGCGCGCGCAGGUGGUUUCUUAAGUCUGAUGUGAAAGCCCACGGCUCAACCGUGGAGGGUCAUUGGAAACUGGGAGACUUGAGUGCAGAAGAGGAAAGUGGAAUUCCAUGUGUAGCGGUGAAAUGCGUAGAGAUAUGGA